UAAGAACAAGCUGUUUUAAGCAUUUCAUUUACACUGAAAAGGUUCUUGAUAUUUCAAGGUUCUUAA
rnacentral:tRNA from 1 species